UCUAAAUGUCAUUCUAUUUCUUCUAGAUAGAAUACCCUGUAAGAUGAUGCGAUAUAAUAUAUCGUCAUACUCAUAUCCACCAAAGUUGUAUGCUUUUCUAAAUGUUUUUCUGUCAUAACAAACUGCAUGCCUAAUAGCUGGAACUUGGUCGGUUAUAUAUAGUUCCUACACAUCACAUUGGUUCUAUGCCAUAUGGGCACUACAGGUAUGAGUGCUCUUUAUCUCAUCACACACUACUAAAUAAUCAUUACAAUAGUGGAUUUUGUUUUAUUUUUGGUUGUCUCUGUGUGGAAGAUUUAACCAUCCUGGAUAGAUGAACAUGCCCAAGGAAUCUAUACAUUGAUGCAGGUAAGAAACUUUUGAGAGAAUGAUAUCUUGCAUUCACAUUUAUUUGAAAGUGGUGUUUCCGCUUGCCUCGACUGUCUGAGCUUUCCAUCCUCCUCUCUGUCCCUGCAUUUUUGGUGAAUUAUAGUGCCUAUUUUCUUAGUAAAACUGGAUCAUAGUAACUCGAUCCAGGUUUGUGACUUGUGACUUGUACACACGAUCAUAGUAACUCAAUCCAGGUUUAGCAUGCACUGAUGGCAUGCAGCGGGUAUAAUGAGGGCUAGGAGGGGGCAGCAGCUGGGUACACUCAUAUGAGGGCUAGGAGGGGUGAGGCCACAGACCGCCACAAACAUUGCACAGAUGGUAUCUAUGUGCUUGCUUGUUUCUUCUCAUGCCUAAGCUGAUUGUACUGGUUGAUAUUUUCUAUAAAAAAUAUGGUUGAUAAUAGCAAAUUGUUCAAACAGAAACAAUCAUAGUUUGUUUCACCAUUAUAAGAAAGAAUAAGCUUAAUAGCAUCAAGCAAAACUUGUACUGUAGAUGCCAACAUUUCUAAUGACAAGAUUGUCCAUUAAUUAUAUGGAGCGGAGGACAGAUAAAAGGAAUUGUCUGCAUGGUGUCCAGGGGUACCAAAUAAAGCCUGCAGUAGUCUGCGAGUGGGCGUCGAAAUUUUGAAUCGAAUUGACUUCCAUCUUUAGAGGAGGCUAUACAGGUCCUUUUUCUAUGUUACUCCAUGUUAAGAACGAAAUCAAAUUAAGCUAGCUUCGUAGAGUACUUGAGUGAUACAGGUUUUUAUUUACAUAUGGUUUCUUUGUUGUACAGCAAAAACUUAUCCAAGUUGACAUUUUUUUGCAGAACCAUCAAAUAAUUCCUGCAAUUGUCACCACAAAUCCUGUUUUGCUGCGUUCAUGUAUAAUAGUAUGUACCGGUUUUACAUUUGGUCGUAGAUUUGAAUUUGCUCAGAGAUCAAAAUAUUAGAUUUAUUCAUUUGUUUUAGAGUCCAAUCUCUUGGCGUGUGAUAUAAGGGAUCUGCUUAAACAGCCGAUAAUGUCUUCUUUUGGUGGCCGACAGUCUGUUUCUGUACUAGUGAGUGUUGUAGAGAGCUACAAGGUAGGGAGUAUGUGGCUUUGUUUCAAACGUGUGGCAGAAUCAACAAUUUUUAGUUGCUAUAAUAUAUUUUUCUGGUUGUAUAUAUAAAUGUUUUUCUUUGUAAUUUACUAUGGUUCGCUACACGUUUUGUAAACCUAAGUAGAUUAUUAUUAUUUUUCCAUCUAUACACAAGUCUCACGGGAUCUCUGUAUACACCCUGGCUACGUACGCAUGAUUAGCAGUUUAAGUACAGAAAGUGGUUGGUAUUUGUUUCCUAUUUUAGUACAAGAAAAAUCUUCUGUCUAACUCUCUUACAAUCUUGCAUGUUGUGUAUUACAUGUCAAGCAUAUAUAAUGUCAAUGCUAUACUAUGCUUUCGGGACAUCAUAUUUCUUUGUAUGCCAUGCUCAAAGGCACGUAUUAUUUCUCUAACUUGGUUUCUGACAUGGUGGUGGGAGCAAAGUCAAGCUAGAUAUACCUGUGUCGACGAGGUGGCAGGCUAUCUCUUGGUUUAAUGCAAAUAUAUUUUCUCCUUUCCCCCUACUAUAACUGACUCAAAAAUGCAUUUAGGCUGCCGUUGCUGAACUGAGACACCUCAUGCAAUUUAUCGGGAGGAUGAAACUAUUGCCUAAGAUUCUGAGGGAAUGCUUGUUCAAGAGGUGCUUACCCAUCUGUAGACGUUGCUCCUUACACGCGCGUGUUUUCAGAUAGGUACUUAUUUUUCCCUACUUUUCAAGUUUUCAGGGUGUGUUUAUUUUCUUAGCUCUUCUGUUCUCUAUGUAGAAAUUGUUUUAGCCUGUUGGUUAAUGUUUUUAUUCUUUGUGCUUCUGUCCCUAGGGGGUUCUCUUUAUCAUUAAUUUUCCAUGUCAUAUGCCCCCUUUGUGCUGUGUGCUUUUUAUUCACACUGGGGGGUUACUUGUUAAGUCUAAGUGUUGCCGCUACUCCCUUGGUGAGGAUAUCUGCCUUGCCCUGCAACCUAAAUACGGUGCUAAUAAUCGAGUAUAUCCUAGCUCAGUUUCCCUUGGUAAAAACUCAUGCUAGGGUGAUGAACAACAUUCAUCAAACCUAGGAAAUACGGUUACUUCUUACGAGUGCACCACAUGGUGUGUUGCUGCUCAAGCUAUACAAAAAAUGCCGCAAGUUAAGGUUGUACCAUCGCAUCUUGCUGAUCCAAGAUAUAUCAGUGGACGGUGCUACAUCUAUUCCUAUAUAUUGAUGCCAUCAUAAAUGAAACUCUUCCUAUUUAAGUACUUCUAUAUGGUAAGUACUCAGAUUCGAUUUUGCUUGAUUAUUUCUAUUAAAACGCACAAGCUCAGAGCUAACCACAUAAAGCAAAUUGCAGGUCCAAGGUCGUAUUCAGGAGCUUAACUAAAAAAAUCUGCAGCUCGCGGUAAUGGUCAGUCAGUUCAAAAGUUAUAUGCUGGAGCUGAGAGCUAAAGUCGCUUAAUGCACUCAGUUUAAAUAGAAGGGGUAUAUGGCGAAUGCUUAGCUCUCUGUCAGUUUUCAGGCGACACAAAAGGCAUAUACCUGAGAACCACUCCUUCCAGCUGUGUGUUCUAUAUUGUGUUAUCAUGUGUACACUGCACGAGUAUAUGUAAAAAAAAAGUUUUUCUGUUCCCUUC